GCCGCCGCCGCCGCCGCCGCUGCUCCUGCCGCGGAGUCCUUGGGGCUGCAGCCCGGCUGCUCGCAACAAACUCUCAAACAAGCUGAAGAAAAAGGAAGAUUUAUUAGAAUCACUAUGCAGGUAAGGUUACAACAAGGGACAACCAACAGAAAGCUAUAACUGGACCC
rnacentral:lncRNA from 1 species